rnacentral:lncRNA from 1 species
AAGAGUGUUAAUAAGGAUAAAAUAUUAAAGAGGAUGGUGGGACCAUUGCCAUAAAAGGAAAGUGACAUAAUCUUGGCGGACGCCCGAUAUAGUAAUUGUGACAUAAUCUUGGUGGACGGAGAGAGUAUUAUCUUAUUUGGAAAUGUGUCAAGAUUCGUGGGACGGUCCAAAAAUGAAUACGUGUCAAAGUUCGUGGGACGGAGGGAAUAUUUUAUUGAAUUCGCAAGAAAAGUUUUUUUCUUUUCCUUUUUUUUUUUGAGAGAGAGGGAGAGAAAUUUGCGAGAGAAUAGUUAUUACAAUAAAUUUCAACAAUCUUUAUAUGAAUAAUAGAUAUGAAUCUUUUUAUUUAAUGAUGUUUCAGCCUACCCUAACUCCCUCUCGUCCUCGAUGC